GAUGAACGCUGGCGGCGUGCCUAACACAUGCAAGUCGAGCGAGAUUAAGUGUAGUGAGGGCUUCGGCCUGAGUGAAGCUUAUGAAAGCGGCGGACGGGUGAGUAACGCGUGGGCAACCUGCCCCAUACAGAGGGAUAGCCACUGGAAACGGUGAUUAAUACCUCAUAAGUCAGUAGGAUCGCAUGAUUUAGCUGACAAAGAUUUAUCGGUAUGGGAUGGGCCCGCGUCUGAUUAGCUAGUUGGUGAGGUAACGGCUCACCAAGGCGACGAUCAGUAGCCGACCGGGGAGGGUGAUCGGCCACACUGGAACUGAGACACGGUCCAGACUCCUACGGGAGGCAGCAGUGGGGAAUAUUGCACAAUGGGAGCAAGCCUGAUGCAGCAACGCCGCGUGAGUGAUGAAGGCCUUCGGGUUGUAAAACUCUGUCCUAUGGGAAGAAACAAAUGACGGUACCAUGGGAGGAAGCCCCGGCUAACUACGUGCCAGCCGCCGCGGUAAAAC
rnacentral:rRNA from 1 species